UACGUAGGGGGCAAGCGUUGUCCGGAUUCACUGGGCGUAAAGCGCGUGUAGGCGGCGCGUCAAGUCGGGUGUGAAAGCCCGGGGCUCAACCCCGGGAUGCCGCUCGAAACUGGCGCGCUUGAGGACGGAAGAGGGGAGUGGAAUUCCUGGUGUAGCGGUGAAAUGCGUAGAGAUCAGGAGGAACACCCGUGGCGAAGGCGGCUCCCUGGUCCGUCCCUGACGCUGAGACGCGAAAGCGCGGGGAGUGAACGGG
rnacentral:rRNA from 1 species